rnacentral:ncRNA from 2 species
CAUCGUGAGGUGGAAUCUGAAGGAAGCCGGAUGUGGGAACAGACUAACCACGGGCAAAUCUCUGGUCUGACGAACAGAAAUCACAUAUAAGGUUUCGCAUGAGGGUAAGAUUGCGUAACAAAUCGAAGCCCAAUAACUACACGGAAUUAUGCGGAAUAAAUGUGGCAGAUAGAUGGAGAGAAAGAAAC